ACGCUCCAGUUUGAUCCAGGAGGCAUGCCUGAUAUUAGCUUGGACAUUUUUCAUGGCCUUAUGUCGACCCCCCGCAUUCUCUUCUCAUCACUAUCCAAGCCUAAAGGUGAGAGUGGAAUAACAGAGAGUGCAUGUUCUUGUAGUAAGCUAUUUCCCGGCACCUUCUAUUCCUGGUGUCCACAUUUUUACUAGUGCACUUUUCUUUCUUUUCCAAUGUGUGCUA
rnacentral:lncRNA from 1 species